rnacentral:rRNA from 1 species
GAUGAACGCUGGCGGCGUGCUUAACACAUGCAAGUCGAACGAAGCAUCCAUGAUUGAGACUUCGGUGGAUUGAUUGGAUGACUGAGUGGCGGACGGGUGAGUAACGCGUGGGCAACCUGCCUCGUACAGGGGGACAACAGUUGGAAACGACUGCUAAUACCGCAUAAGCGCACAGCUUCGCAUGAAGCAGUGUGAAAAACUGAGGUGGUACGAGAUGGGCCCGCGGUGCAUUAGCUAGUUGGUAAGGUAAUGGCUUACCAAGGCGAUGAUGCAUAGCCGAGUUGAGAGACUGAUCGGCCACAAUGGAACUGAGACACGGUCCAU